rnacentral:lncRNA from 1 species
ACUAGUCCAAAUUGGAAUGAAAUGCAGUCCAUUCAAUCAAAUAUCAGAUGAAUGAAUGGACUGUAUUUCACUUCAAUUUGGACCAGUGGAGAACCGAGUACGCAUAUACAAGGAAUCCAAGAAUAUAUGAAACAAUCAAAUACGUGAUUCCAUCCAAACGUUGUACCUUUGAAAUUGACAGCAAACAAACAUGUGAUUCUUGUGUUCUUUUAGGUCAAGUCUUUGAAAUAAUAUCUUGCAUGGAGUCACUGAAACUGAGACAAUAUCUUGCAUGAUGAGAUUAUUGGGGUCACUGAAACUGAGAAUUCCAUGUGGAGUGUGUAAGCACAUUGUACUAUAAUCAUGAAAACCAAACUCUCUUUGAAAGUUCCAUCUAGCUACCAUUAGCAGCUAUGGUAUAACUAAAUUUACCUCUUCAUUUGUAUCAAUAACGGCAAGCGAAGUGUUCCCAUUCGAGGUUGUUACAUGCUUUCCCCUGGGGACACUUAUCCGAGAUGGGUCGUUCCUUGGCCUUACGAGGUCAGUCUUACGUUGGGUCUUACGAUCUCGGUGACUCUAAUGUUUUUACAUAAUCUCGGAGGAACAUGUAGAAUCACGGUGGAACGAACAAUCAUGAACAAUAAACAUCAUGGGCAAAAGGCAAAGAUGUAUAAUGGUUCACCAUGCCAUCGGAGGACAUGACUACAUCCACUUAAGGUUCUACUAUCAUGGCCAAUAGGCCCUUGGGAUCGGGAGAGAGAGAGAUUCAGUCAGCCCUCCUCUAUCCAUCAUCCAUCAGAUCAGCUAGAGAGAUUCAGUCCCUUUCAGCUAGAGAGAUUCAAUCCC